UACGGCCGCAAGGCUGAAACUUAAAGGAAUUGGCGGGGGAGCACCACCAGGCGUGAAGCCUGCGGUUUAAUUGGAGUCAACGCCGGGAAUCUUACCGGGAGCGACAGCAGAAUGAAGGCCAGGUUGAAGGUCUUGCUGGACGAGCUGAGAGGUGGUGCAUGGCCGUCGCCAGUUCGUGCCGUGAGGUGUCCUCUUAAGUGAGGUAACGAACGAGACCCGUGCCCCAUGUUGCUAACAGUAUUUAUAGAAUAGCUGAGCACUCUUGGGGGACCGCAGCCGACAAGGCUGAGGAAGGUGCGGGCCACGGCAGGUCAGUAUGCCCCGAAUCUCCCGGGCCACACGCGGGCUGCAAUGGUAGUGACAGAGGGCUGCGACCCCGAGAGGGGGAGCCAAUCCCUAAACACUAUCUCAGUUGGGAUCGAGGGCUGCAACCCGCCCUCGUGAACAUGGAAUGCCUAGUAACCGCCGGUCAUCAUCCGGCGGUGAAUACGUCCCUGCUCCUUGCACACACUGCCCGUCGAACCACCCGAAUGAGGUUUUGAUGAGGCAUGGUCGAAAGUUGGCCGUGUCGAAUCUGGGCCUUGUAAGGAGGGUUAAGUCGUAACAAGGUGGCCGUAGGGGAACCUGCGGCCG
rnacentral:rRNA from 1 species